UUCUCCUUUCAACAGACUGAUCACAUAGAAAUACAUAGGUGCUGUGUUCGGCGACUUGACCGUUAUGUCUUCGUAUGAAAUAGCACGAAUACCCGUUUCAUUCUCCAGCUGCUUUAUGUAUGCGACGGUUGAACGAGGAAGGUGGUAUAACUGGAAGCCUUCUUUUGAUUUUACAGAACUGAGGAUCUCUGAUAACUUAUUCUGAUCAACAGUCCGAUUAUUUGCUGAACAAAGUGACGUAUUUGGACUAAAUGCAGAAAUCUUCUAUGGCAAUCUACUUUUUUAAAGUUCUACUCGUCAAUUAUGUCUCUCGAUUUUAGAGCAUCGAUUCCCCGAGUAAAUACUCCUCUUCCGGCAUCACAUAGCCAGAUAGAGAGUCAGAUCGAAUCGUUUGUAGAGAGUUUUAGAAGAAAUGGAUCUGUCUUCACUAGUAACCUAAGCGUAGAGUCUUGCAGCUCUGGCUUGCGUGAAAGCUUAGGUCAACUCACGCCGUCGGAUGACAGUACAUACGACAUUUCCAUACGACACGUGGCUCAUUCGUCCUAUGCUUCGAGCAGCUGUUUUGAUUCUUCAUCGUGCGAUGACGUCGUUAUCAGUGAUACUGGUAAGAUAAUUCAGGUUUGAUACAUUGGAAUGCAGUGGAAACUUUGUUAAGAUACAACACAGUUAUAUAUUUUUACUACUGUGGGUUUAUGUUAAACUCGUGAAAAUCUUGCUAUCAAUAAAAGUAACCAGUA